rnacentral:misc_RNA from 1 species
UGGUACUCGAACACCAGGU